CCUACGGGUGGCAGCAGUGAGGAAUAUUGGUCAAUGGGAGAGAUCCUGAACCAGCCAAGCCGCGUGAGGGAAGACGGCCCUAUGGGUUGUAAACCGCUUUUGUCGGAGAACAAAACCCGGGACGUGUCCCGGGCUGAGUGUAUCGGAAGAAAAAGCAUCGGCUAACUCCGUGCCAGCAGCCGCGGUAAUACGGAGGAUGCGAGCGUUAUCCGGAUUUAUUGGGUUGAAAGGGGGCGUAGGCGGUCCGUUAAGUCAGCGGUAAAAGUGCGGGGCUCAACCCCGUCGAGCCGUUGAAACUGGGAGACUUGAGUUGGCGAGAAGUACGCGGAAUGUGCGGUGUAGCGGUGAAAUGCAUAGAUAUCGCGCAGAACUCCGAUUGCGAAGGCAGCGUACCGGCGCCAGACUGACGCUGAGGCACGAAAGCGUGGGGAUCGAACAGGAUUAGAUACCCCGGUAGUC
rnacentral:rRNA from 1 species